UACGUAGGGGGCGAGCGUUGUCCGGAUUUAUUGGGCGUAAAGAGCUCGUAGGCGGUUUGGUAAGUUGGAUGUGAAAUCUCCAGGCUCAACUUGGAGGGGUCAUUCGAUACUGCCAUGACUAGAGUUCGGUAGGGGAGUGUGGAAUUCCUGGUGGAGCGGUGAAAUGCGCAGAUAUCAGGAGGAACACCGGUGGCGAAGGGGGAUCUCUGGGCCUUACCUGACGCUGAGGCGCGAAAGCUAGGGGAGCGAACUGG
rnacentral:rRNA from 1 species